GCCAGCCCCGUGCCCUGCACGCCUGGCUCUGCUCGGCAGCCUGCCGGUGAGCGGAGAGCCGGUGGAGCAGCAGCCGCGCGUGGUUCGGGUCUUGUCACCAUUUCUGCGCCUGCUGACCUGCCCUGGAGAGGGAGAAGGCGGCAGCACCUCAGAGAUCUUAAAACCUUGAAAAAGGCAGAAGAACUAGGAAGAGAAAUAAGUGAAAGAGAGAAAAUUAAAGGAAAGACCUCAAAGCAAAGAAACGGAAAGGAACCAAAGGACACAGAUCUGGGAUUUGGGCCUGGUGACCAGUGAAGCCCUCUGGCUCAACAGAGAAAACAUGGAGGCUUUGGUGCCCCUCCGUUCCCCGAAGAACCACAGAUCACUGCAGCCUCUGUACCACCGUCACGGCCUGUGACUCUGAGGUGCAGGUUUGGCCAUG